GAGAGAGGCUAUACCCAAGUUUUAGGUGGUCCAGAUAUAAUGUGCUAUUGUUCCAGGUGACUUUAUUACCAUUAAUUGGUUGAAAUCUAACCUAGUGUUCUGUCAAGCAAAAACUAGUGAUAAUGUGACACAGCAUCAAGUACUGGAAGAAAAGCUCUUGAAAGGAUUUCCCUCCUAAGAGGAAAAUAGUAAAGUUUCUUUCUCAAAGAUACUUGGAUCCCACUACCAUAUUUAUCAAACAAUCAUAGAAGAACGGUAAAACAGAAUCAAUGGCUUCAAAAACUUGGAUAUAAUUGGAUUCAAUCCCCUAUGGUAUUUAGUUACUUAUGCUACAUUCCCUUUUGAAAUUGAUAAAGAACUUGUCCACUAAGGUCCUACAAAUGUUUUAUAAUUUUCUUCUUGUCCAUAUUCUAAUGGAAUUUUUUAAAAAGUCAUUUAUUUUUAAUAAAAGCACAUGGUAAAGUUUUCUUUUUCUUCUUUUUUUAUAUUUUUUUUAUCCUGUAGCAAAGUAUGGCAGAAUCUGCAUC
rnacentral:misc_RNA from 1 species